UGAACGCUGGCGGCAUGCCUAACACAUGCAAGUCGAACGGAAACAGGACGCUGUGAUCUCUUCGGAGUGAACUUGUCGCUGUCGAGUGGCGGACGGGUGAGUAAUGCAUAGAAAUUUGCCUCGAAGUGGGGGAUAGCCCGGAGAAAUCCGGAUUAAUACCGCAUGCGCUCUACGGAGCAAAGUGGGCCUCUGAUUUAAGCUCACGCUUUGAGAUAAGUCUAUGUCGGAUUAGCUAGUUGGUAGGGUAAAAGCCUACCAAGGCGACGAUCCGUAGCUGGUUUGAGAGGAUGAUCAGCCACACUGGGACUGAGACACGGCCCAGACUCCUACGGGAGGCAGCAGUGGGGAAUAUUGCACAAUGAGCGCAAGCUUGAUGCAGCAAUGCCGCGUGUGUGAAGAAGGCCUGCGGGUUGUAAAGCACUUUUAUCGGGAAAGAAAUCCUUAGAGUUAAUAACUCUGAGGCUUGACGGUACCCGAAGAAUAAGGACCGGCUAACUCAGUGCCAGCAGCCGCGGUAAUAC
rnacentral:rRNA from 1 species